rnacentral:rRNA from 1 species
UGGGCGCCCCACAGUGGUGGGGUGAUCUGGUGAUCCUCUGCUGCCGAGAAAAGCAUCGACGUGAGGGUGUGUGUUGCCCGUACCCUAUAACCGACACAGGUGGUCAGGUAGAGAAUACUAAGGUGAUCGAGAGAAUCGUGGUUAAGGAACUCGGCAAAAUGCCCCCGUAACUUCGGGAGAAGGGGGGCCAUCCUGGUGAACAGCCCUUGCGGUUGGGAGCUGGUGGUGGUCGCAGAGGCCAGAGAGAAGCGACUGUUUAUUAAAAACACAGGUCCGUGCGAAGAUGUAAGUCGAUGUAUACGGACUGACGCCUGCCCGGUGCUGGAAGGUUAAGAGGACCCGUUAACCCUUGGGUGAAGCGGAGAAUUUAAGCCCCAGUAAACGGCGGUGGUAACUAUAACCAUCCUAAGGUAGCGAAAUUCCUUGUCGGGUAAGUUCCGACCUGCACGAAUGGCGUAACGACUUCUCUGCUGUCUCAACCACGAACUCGGCGAAAUUGCAUUACGAGUAAAGAUGCUCGUUACGCGCAGCAGGACGGAAAGACCCCGAGACCUUCACUAUAGUUUGGUAUUGGGCUUCGGUGUGGUUUGUGUAGGAUAGGUGGGAGAUGUUGAAGCCUGGUCGCCAGAUCGGGUGGAGUCGGCAAGUGAAAUACCAC